rnacentral:sRNA from 17 species
CCCGGAUGAGAAUUUGUUAGAAAAAACUGCAUGGUGAAUCCCCCUGAGCGGAGGGGCGACUGGUGACGGUAUAAUCUCUGAUUAUCAAAACGAGAAUGACGCGGGUUUAGUGGCACCGGGCUGAACUCACCGGGAGGCACCCGGCACCAUACAAUGGCACAUCGCGCCACUCUCCAGCCCCUCUCCGGAGGGGCUUUCUUAUGGAC